rnacentral:rRNA from 1 species
UACGUAGGGUGCAAGCGUUGUCCGGAAUUAUUGGGCGUAAAGAGCUCGUAGGCGGUCUGUCGCGUCGAAUGUGAAAACCCGGGGCUCAACCCCGGGCCUGCAUUCGAUACGGGCAGACUAGAGUUCGGUAGGGGAGUCUGGAAUUCCUGGUGUAGCGGUGAAAUGCGCAGAUAUCAUGAGGAAGACCAGUGGCGAAGGCGGAUCUCUGGACAGUUCCUGACACUGAGGCACGAAGGCCAGGGGAGCAAACGGG